AGGUUCUAAGAGUGAAAGGUUCUAAGAGUGAAAGGUUCUAAGAGUGAAAGGUAAACUCAUUUUGGACGAUGUAAUCUUCUGUUGCCUGAUGCUGCCGCUCUUAUGAUCAACAAUAACUGCGUUCUUAUUCAUUUCUAUUGAA